UCCCAGGUGACACAGUGGUAAAGAAUCUGCCUGCAAGGCAGGAGACCUGGGUUCGAUCCCUGGGUUGGGAA
rfam:TPA: Bos taurus chromosome 16, whole genome shotgun sequence.